rnacentral:ncRNA from 1 species
CUGAGCCUUUCGAGAGGGAGGUGAUCGCCGCGCAGAAGUCAGCAAAGGACGUAGUAGGCGCAACUGUCGGCGCUGAAGGUC